GACGGAAGGUGCAAGCGUUGCUCGGAAUCACUGGGCGUAAAGGGUGCGUAGGCGGCUGUGUAAGUCUGGCGUGAAAGCCCAGGGCUCAGCCCUGGAAGUGCGCUAGAAACUGCGCGGCUGGAGUGCCGGAGGGGAGAGUGGAAUUCCUGGUGUAGCGGUGAAAUGCGUAGAUAUCAGGAGGAACACCGAUGGCGAAGGCAGGUCUCUGGGCCACUACUGACGCUGAGAAGCGAAAGCAUGGGGAGCGAACAGG
rnacentral:rRNA from 1 species